AGCAGUGCAGGGCAUACCGAGGCCUAGUCACCUCGUAAAUAAACUAGAACAAGUAUAGUCGCAAACGACGAAACUUACGCUCUAGCCGCUUAAUCCCGGUUGGACGCUGCACCGAAGGGUCUCUCGGUCGGGUGGGUAACCACAGCAGCGUCAUAAAGAGAGACUCGUGUUGUAUUGGGUUACUUAAUACAACAUUAAAUCCAAGGUGACUCGCUUCACAUUUGCUUGCUCGUUGGUGAAUGUGCGGUUAAAUCAAACAACACAGCUAAGUAUGUAGAACUGUCUGUGGAGGACUUACGGACGCGGGUUCGAUUCCCGCCGGCUCCACCA
rnacentral:tmRNA from 1 species